GCCAGCAGCCGCGGUAAUUCCAGCUCCAAUAGCGUAUAUUAAAGUUGUUGCGGUUAAAAAGCUCGUAGUUGGUUCUGCGUGCCGCGCUGUCGGUUCGCCGCCUGUCGGUGUUACUGGCAUGUCGCGGCAUGUCCUGUCGGUGGUGAAUGAAAUCCCCGGUGCUUACGUAGGCUUUUAUUAGCUGAAGUUUGUGCCGUGGUGACUUCAUUUGCCGAUUUCUCCUACUCCGGUGCUCUUAAACGAGUGUCGAGGUAGGCCGACACGUUCACUUUGAACAAAUUAGAGUGCUUAAAGCAGGCUAAAAUAUCUGCCUGAAUAGUGGUGCAUGGAAUAAUAAAAUAGGACCUCGGUUCUAUUUUAUUGGUUUUAGGAAUAUGAGGUAAUGAUCAAUGUGGACUGGCGGGGGCAUUCGUAUUGCGACGUUAGAGGUGAAAUUCUUGGAUCGUCGCAAGACGCACUAGAGCGAAAGCAUUUGCCAAGUAUGUCUUAAUUGAUCAAGAACGAAAGUUAGAGGUUCGAAGGCGAUCAGAUACCGCCCUAGUUCUAACCAUAAACGAUGCCAGCCAGCGAUCCGCCGAUGUUCCUUUAAUGACUCGGCGGGGAGCUUCCACCCGGGAAACCAAAGCUUUUGGGUUCCGGGGGAAGUAUGGUUGCAAAGCUGAAACUUAAAG
rnacentral:rRNA from 1 species